GCCCUGGUAGUCUAGUGGCCUAGGAUGGGGCCCUGUCGAGGCUCCGACCCGGGUUCAAAACAGAUGAUAAGCCAUCUGGAGGCUUGAGCGACUUUCGCUUCGCUUCAGUCCCUCGGAUAUAUGUUUAUCUCUAUGAAAGUCCCGGCCAGGGCG
rnacentral:tRNA from 1 species